ACGUACACUCCUGCGGGAGGCAGCAGUGGGGAAUAUUGCACAAUGGGCGCAAGCCUGAUGCAGCCAUGCUGCGUGUAUGAAGAAGGCCUUCGGGUUGUAAAGUACUUUCAGCGGGGAGGAAGGCAAUACGGUUAAUAACCGUGUUGAUUGACGUUACCCGCAGAAGAAGCACCGGCUAACUCCGUGCCAGCAGCCGCGGUAAUACGGAGGGUGCAAGCGUUAAUCGGAAUUACUGGGCGUAAAGCGCACGCAGGCGGUCUGUCAAGUCGGAUGUGAAAUCCCCGGGCUCAACCUGGGAACUGCAUUCGAAACUGGCAGGCUUGAGUCUUGUAGAGGGGGGUAGAAUUCCAGGUGUAGCGGUGAAAUGCGUAGAGAUCUGGAGGAAUACCGGUGGCGAAGGCGGCCCCCUGGACAAAGACUGACGCUCAGGUGCGAAAGCGUGGGGAGCAAACAGGAUUAGAAACCCCAGUAGUCCCAUG
rnacentral:rRNA from 1 species